rnacentral:miRNA from 1 species
ACAAGCUAGCGACUCGGGUAUUG